rnacentral:rRNA from 1 species
CCUACGGGUGGCAGCAGUGGGGAAUAUUGCACAAUGGGGGAAACCCUGAUGCAGCGACGCCGCGUGAGUGAAGAAGUAAUUCGUUAUGUAAAGCUCUAUCAGCAGGGAAGAAAAUGACGGUACCUGAGUAAGAAGCCCCGGCUAACUACGUGCCAGCAGCCGUGGUACUACGUAGGGGGCAAGCGUUAUCCGGAUUUACUGGGUGUAAAGGGAGCGUAGACGGCAGUGCAAGUCUGGAGUGAAAGGCGGGGGCGCAACCCCCGGACUGCGCGGGAAACUGGACGGCUGGAGUGCGGGAGAGGUAAGUGGAAUUCCUAGUGUAGCGGUGAAAUGCGUAGAUAUGAGGAGGAACACCGGUGGCGAAGGCGGCUUACUGGACUGUAACUGACGUUGAGGCUCGAAAGCGUGGGGAGCGAACAGGAUUAGAUACCCCAGUAGUC